rnacentral:rRNA from 1 species
CCCUUAGAUGUUCUGGGCCGCACGCGUGCUACACUGAGUGGAUCAGCGGGUCAGGUUGCGCGAAAGCGUUUCCUAAUCUUUAAAUCCGCUCUUGAUGGGGAUUGACGGUUGCAAUUUUCUGUCAUGAACGAGGAAUACCUUGUAAGCGCGGGUCAUCAUCCCGCGCUGAAUACGUCCCUGCCCUUUGUACACACCGCCCGUCGCUCCUACCGAUUGAGUGGUCCGGUGAGGCUUUGGGAUCUGAGCGGAAAGAGCGUUUCGCUGUUUCUGCUCGGAAAACUCAGUCGAACCUUAUCAUUUAGAGGAAGGAGAAGUCGUAACA